GCAGUUCCCCAGAAGGAGAGACUUGUUUUCGGCUGUUAUUUAACGUGGCAGCAGGCUGAGACGCAGUGCAGUCGGUGGCUCACAGAAGGUUCGCUUCUCAGGAGACUUGCCCAUGGCGUGCGGAGCUUUUCAGAAUGAAACUGAUCGAGCUUACAGUGUUGUUAUGAAGAUGAAUUGAGUUAAUACAUGCGAACCCCUCCGAAUGAUGUCUGACACAGGUUCUCUGUGUUGACUAAACUCAGUUGGGCAGCUCUUCUCUCCACGUGGUGUCAGCUGGGGUCUCUUACUUGGCUGCAUUCAGCUGGGAGCAAGCCUGGGCCUGGUACUUUGAGAUAACCUCACUGGAAUGCCUGGGGCUCACUGGAAUGCCUGAGCUAGAAGGCUGGGAUCUCUUUUUUUCCAGGAAGUUUCCACGUCAUGAGCUGCCCUAUGAAGAGGCCAAUAUGACAAAAGACGAAGAAAGACCUCUGGACAACAGCCAGCAAGGAACCAAGGCCCUCAGUCCUCCCACUUAAGAGGAAGGGAAGCCUCCAACAAAUCCACGUGAGCUUGGAAGCUGGGCCAUCUGUUCAUCCUUUGGGUGAGACUUCAGUUCGAGUAGAUUGGGAGAGAGGCUUUGAGGCAGAAGCACCCAGAUUCCUGACCCACAGAACUGUGAGAUAAUAAAUAUUUGCUGUCAUAAGAUGCUAAGUUUUGAGAUAAUUUAUCACACAGCAGUAGAUAAUUAUUAUAGCACCCCAUAGAUCGGUAAACCACAAACUUUUGAUGGUGAACUCUUAAAAAUAAACAUUUCCAGCUUCAGAUAGUCUGAUUGAAUAGUUCUGGAAAAGGCUCAGAGGGCUUUUAUGCAUAUAGUCUCAAGACCUGAUGUUUGAAAAUUCUCUCCGGAAGUUACAAACAACCUUUUUUUUUCCCUUGUGGCAAGAGAGAUUUUAAUGGCCAGAAGGGAAUCCUUCAGGGCAAGCUAGGAUUGUUAGGCUUAAUCGUACAUUGCUCAAAAAGUGAGAUCUCUACGAAGCCCUUGGCUAGCAAAGAUUGUGAUCUACUUGUGUUUGUUUGAGGCUUAUUGCCUAGGGACAAAGGGCAAGGUAACUUCUUAUGGCUCCUAGACUUUCCCUUUAUAUUUUUUAACUUUUAUUUUAGGAUCUUGGGUGCAUGUGAAGGUUUGUUACAUAGGUAAACUCGUAUCAUGGGGGUUUGUUGUACAGGUUAUUUCAUCACCCAGUACCCAAUAGUUAUAUUGUCUGCUCCACUCUCUCCUCCCACCGUCCACCCUCAGACAGACCUCAGUGUUUGUUAUUCCCUUCUUGGUGUUCAUGAGUUCCUCUCAUUUAGCUCCCAUUUGUAAGUCAGAACAUGUGGUAUUUGGUUUUCUGUUCCUGUGUUAGUUGACUAAGGAUGAUAGCCUCCAGCUUCAUUCAUAUAACCACAAAAGAUAUAAUGUCACUCUUUUUUGUGGCUUCAUAGUGUUCCAUGGUGUAUAUGUACCACGUUUCCUUUGUUCAGUUUGUCAUUGGGCAUUUAGGUUGAUUCCAUGUCUUCAAUCAACCAGUUUUGUUUUAUUCAUGCCUAUAUAUUCAUGUCUGAAACAUGGUAGAUUAUCAAUAAAUAUAAUUGAAUGAAUUAAUGCAUACAGAUAUACAAUAUAAAAAAAUUUAAAUGGAUUUACCAAAACUUAGUUUUAAGCAUAACGUGGUUAAGAUAAUUAAUUUCUUCAUUAAUUAGUUAACCUGUUUUGUAAUUAUCACAUCUGUUUUUCUUACCUGUAGCUGUUUUAUGCAUUUAUACAUGCAAAUUUUCCCUCUUCUUAGAAACAAGGACUACAUCUAUUUUAUCCAUUUACUAUGACCCUAUGCCAGCUUGCAAAGUAACUUGGUGCAUAUUUAAUUCUCGACUAUAUUCAUUUCCCUUUUAUUUGUAUAAAAUAAUUGUAUAAUGACGUAUACUUUUUAAAAUUAGAUAACUCUAUUUUAACUUAUCAUGAGCUAUACGUACCUGGCCUUAAAUCCCAGAUUCUAUAAUUAAUAACUGUGGGCACUUUGGCAAAUUAUUUUAUUCUUUGAGUUUCUGUUUCUUUCUUUCAAAUUAUGACUUGUGUUCUUGGGAGAUUUGAAGGAACUAAUAUAUAGUAAGUCUUAUUGAGUGGUGGAUCCUGGAGUUCCCAUCAUCCUAACCAUUUUUAGUACAUUUUUUUUCUUAUUGCUCAUAUUGUGGGCCAGAUUUUGUGUCUCCUCCCCCCAUGCAUAUGUUGAAGCCCUAACCCCUAGCCCUUCAGAAUGUGACUGUAUUUGUACACAGGGCUUUUAAAGAGGUAAUUAAGUUAAAAUUAGGACAUUAGGGUGAAUUCAAUCUGAUUGGUGUCCUUUUAAGAAGAGAAAAUUUGGACACACAAAGAGAUGCCAGGGAUGCAUUUGCAGAGAGAAAAGACCACAGAAGAGACUAAGAGGAUAAGAUGAUCAUCUACAAGCUGAAAAGAUACUGAUCCUGCCAAUAACUUGGUCUUGAACUUCCAGCCUCCAGAAUGUGAGAAAAUAAAUGCCUGUUGUUUAAGCCACCCAGUCUGUG